AGCGGAAUUUUAUUGGUGCUUGCACCUUUAAAAUUUUAGCGGCGGACGGGUGAGUAACACGUGGGUAACCUACCUUAUAGAUUGGGAUAACUCCGGGAAACCGGGGCUAAUACCGAAUAAUACUUUUUAACACAUGUUUGAAAGUUGAAAGACGGUUUCGGCUGUCACUAUAAGAUGGACCCGCGGCGCAUUAGCUAGUUGGUGAGGUAACGGCUCACCAAGGCAACGAUGCGUAGCCGACCUGAGAGGGUGAUCGGCCACACUGGGACUGAGACACGGCCCAGACUCCUACGGGAGGCAGCAGUAGGGAAUCUUCCACAAUGGACGAAAGUCUGAUGGAGCAACGCCGCGUGAGUGAAGAAGGAUUUCGGUUCGUAAAACUCUGUUGCAAGGGAAGAACAAGUAGCGUAGUAACUGGCGCUACCUUGACGGUACCUUGUUAGAAAGCCACGGCUAACUACGUGCCAGCAGCCGCGGUAAUACGUAGGUGGCAAGCGUUGUCCGGAAUUAUUGGGCGUAAAGCGCGCGCAGGUGGUUCCUUAAGUCUGAUGUGAAAGCCCCCGGCUCAACCGGGGAGGGUCAUUGGAAACUGGGGAACUUGAGUGC
rnacentral:rRNA from 1 species